CAGAAGUUGGCAUAUACGGCGUGUCGGGGGAAUCAUUAUCGAUACCACCAGCCCGGAAUGUACAUGGACGCCCGGCUGGCCCAGUCCUGCCAGGUGCACCAGUACCAGCGCCAGAAAAAGAUCCUGACCAAUGAGGAGAGCCCCCCAAAGCCCGUCCAGCAGCUGUCGACGGAGUCGGAGACUGAGAACGGGGACUUCACUGUGUACGAAU